AUUGAACGCUGGCGGCAGGCCUAACACAUGCAAGUCGAGCGAGUGGCGGACGGGUGAGUAAUGUCUGGGAAACUGCCCGAUGGAGGGGGAUAACUACUGGAACCGGUAGCUAAUACCGCAUACCAUCGGAUGUACCCAUAUGGGAUUAGCUAGUAGGUGGGGUAAAGACUCACCUAGGCGACGAUCCCUAGCUGGUCUGAGAGGAUGACCAGCCACACUGGGACUGAGACACGGUCCAGAAUCCUACGGGAGGCAGCAGUGGGGAAGAUUGCACAAUGGGCGCAAGCCUGAUGCAGCCAUGCCGCGUGUAUGAAGAAGGCCUUAGGGUUGUAAAGUACUUUCAGCGGGGAGGCGUUACCCGCAGAAGAAGCACCGGCUAACUCCGUGCCAGCAGCCGCGGUAAUAC
rnacentral:rRNA from 1 species